rnacentral:rRNA from 1 species
CCUACGGGAGGCAGCAGUGAGGAAUAUUGGACAAUGGACGAGAGUCUGAACCAGCCAAGUAGCGUGAAGGAUGACUGCCCUAUGGGUUGUAAACUUCUUUUAUAAAGGAAUAAAACGAGGCACGUGUGCCUUUUUGCAAGUACUUUAUGAAUAAUGAUCGGCUAACUCCGUGCCAGCAGCCGCGGUAAUACGGAGGAUCCAAGCGUGAUCCGGAUGUAUUGGGUUUAAGGGGAGCGUAGAUGGGUUGGUAAGUCAGUUGUGAAAGGUUGGGGCUCAACCGUAAAAUUGCAAUUGAUACUGGCAGUCUUGAGUACAGUAGAGGUAGGCGGAAUUCGUGGUGUAGCGGUGAAAUGCGUAGAUAUCACGAAGAACCCCGAUUGCGAAGGCAGCUUACUAAACUGUGACUGACAUUGAUGCUCGAAAGUGUGGGUAUCAAACAGGAUUAGAUACCCCUGUAGUC